rnacentral:misc_RNA from 1 species
AAGUCGUAACAAGGUUUCCGUAGGUGAACCUGCGGAAGGAUCAUUAACACGUAUCCAACGUUAAACCCCCCGUGAACCUUCAGUGCGCUCGCACUUUCUUAGAAAAGGUAGCAAUCCCUGGUAAAUCAUUGCCGAACAGUUUUGAUUCAGGGACUUCUGCGUAGACUGUGCUUGAGCGUGAGGCAAGUGGCCUGGCAUUCCUCUGCUUGUUGGUGUCUGAAAGUGUCACCAGCUCUGUACGAAUGGCGCAGUCACGAUCGCUAGAGGCCGACACGGCCGGCGGGGCGCGAGCCCCCCUCGUCACCUUUGCAUGAAAACGGGCCUGCGGGCCACCAAACUCGAACAACUGUUAACAAUGGAUAUCUUGGUUCUC